AGAUGGGCGUAACUCUAAAUGGAUCAUGCAUUCAGACUUUGGAACAAUAACUCAUCAAUUCACGACGGGACGUCGUUUAAGCGCGAGCUGCUUGAGUUUCUGCACACGUCCACGCUCCGGGACCAGCGACAGACUCGAUCAUAGCAGUCCUUGGACAGUAGCACAAGAUACUUGGCAGGAAUUUGGAUAACAGACUGCAUGUGCACUUGAGCGUCAGAUCACUCAAGCCAAAGUCAAUGGCCGUUUGUCACUAACUGACAUCAGUAGCUACCUUUCGUGUUGCACUUUAGAGUGACGUAGUUGCGAGUUAACGCGAUUCUCGGGGAUAGUUCGUGGUUUUUAACAACUGCAUUGCUGCAAAGACCUCUGCCUUUACGAGUUUUUGAUAUCUGCUUGUGGAUUAGAUAUGAUUAUGCUGUUAUGGAUCACCUCAAGUUUGGAAAAGGAGAUUUUGGAAAUCAGUGAUAAAACACGUAAAUUAAAGGCCCUCAGAUCAGGAGUCGGAAGACGAGCGGAGAGUGGGAGUAGCGAUAGUGGUGGAGGAGUGAACCCGGAGCAGGUGAACACAGCUGCGGACCGCCAUGGGCUCUCUUCUAUUGGUCCCGACUCUUCAUCUUCGGGUCUCUGAGAGACGGCAGGGGCCAGCCAGGGAGCGCCGGAGUGGGCAGGCCAGGCAGCUCGCUUUCCCCGCCGGCUACCGGCUCCUCUGCAGUGAGGAGGGAGAGAAAUCAAUACUGAGGAGAGAUGCUGCCAGGGGUCGCUCAACGCUACAUCCAGCCAUGGAGCCAUGGGAGCCCAAGUGUUCAGCUUUCUCUCUCACAGCCCAAUCUCAGUCAACUUGCAUCAGCUAAAGAGAGCCAACAGCCUUGACGUUCUUCAUGCUACACCGAGUGUGUGUGGUUCUGCCAGAGGGCCUUUUCAGGCUCGGCAUCACUUGAUAAAACUGUGCCUGCUGGAGAACGAGUAGAAAAAGAAUGUCAAAAGUCUUUCUUUCACCCAUCUUUGAUUCCUUUUUCGCCAUGAGUGCACAUUCCCCCUGACUGUUGUAAUGAGUGCUUGACGGAGAUCUCUUUUACGCUAAAUCAAGAAGCCUUCUUUUUUUAGUGGUUCUCCUCCUAAGCAUGCACAAAGUGCUCUACAUUUGAUGGGCUGGGAUGAGGGAGCAGUUUGAAUCCUUUCCACCUUUUCCAUGAUGGUUUUCCAUGAUUUGUUUAAGGACGCCACUAUUGGAGAGGCUCAGAAAAGGACAUGGCCUUGAUUUGUAGUUGAAGGUUUUGGCACUUAACCUUCCAGGGAACUUUACAAUGGCUUUCAGCACUGACAAUGGCACUUGAUUGGUAUUAAUAACAUUGCAGACAAAUCGAGGACAGUGUGAGAUGGAGAAGUUCCAAAAAGUUGCUCCCACAAGGCUGCAGAUCCAUUGGGAUGUGGACAACUAAAACGUGGCCUGAACUAGAUGUUAACCAUUCAAAAAGUGGAGUGCUGGUGGCAGUGGAUAGUUCCUGUAUCCUUGGAUGCUCAACAGGAAGUUGUAUUUGGUUUUGGACUAAAUCAUGAAGCCAGGAUCAGCACAGACCAUCACUGGAGAUAGUUUUCCUUUUUUCCUUUAUUUAUUUACUGAAUGUAACUGUUAUUUAAGAAGACUGUUUGUGUUGUUUGUAUCGGAUCUUUCUUUUUUCAACAAGUAUUUUUGGACAAUACAGGUAAGUUUAUUGUUUGA